rnacentral:rRNA from 1 species
UACGUAGGGUGCAAGCGUUGUCCGGAAUUAUUGGGCGUAAAGAGCUCGUAGGCGGUUUGUCACGUCUGCUGUGAAAACUCGGGGCUUAACUCCGGGCCUGCAGUGGGUACGGGCAGACUAGAGUGCGGUAGGGGAGACUGGAAUUCCUGGUGUAGCGGUGAAAUGCGCAGAUAUCAGGAGGAACACCGGUGGCGAAGGCGGGUCUCUGGGCCGUAACUGACGCUGAGGAGCGAAAGCGUGGGGAGCGAACAGG